rnacentral:rRNA from 1 species
UUUGUAUUUUCCGAUGACCUCGCCGCAUACGCCGAUUAAUCCAUCGGAGCGAUUUAAGGGUAAAAGCGGUAUAAGCAAGUAUGCCGAUUUUCUUAUGGAAACUGACUGGU